rnacentral:tRNA from 1 species
GGCGGUAUAGCCAAGUGGCAAGGCAAAGGCCUGCAAAGCCUUAUCCCUAGUUCGACUCUAGGUACCGCCUCCA